CAAUAGCGUAUAUUAAAGUUGUUGCGGUUAAAAAGCUCGUAGUUGGAGUUCUGCCAGGUGCCGCCUGUCCGCCCCAGUGGUGAGUACGUGGCGCGCAUUUGGCCCUUUCAAGGGGAGCGUAUCUGCACUUUAUUGUGUGGUGCGGGAUCCUUGACUUUUACUUUGAGGAAAUAGGAGUGUUCCAAGCAGGCUCUCGUCGUGCACAGCUCAGCAUGGAAUAAUAGCAUUGGACCUCGAUUCUAAGCUGUUGGUUGCCAGAAGCGAGGUAAUGAUGAAGAGGGAUAGUUGGGGGCAUUCGUAUUUAACUGUCAGAGGUGAAAUUCUUGGAUUUGUUAAAGACGGACUACUGCGGAAGCAUCUGCCAUGGAUGUUUUCAUUGA
rnacentral:rRNA from 1 species